rnacentral:rRNA from 1 species
UGCCCUAACAGUUCCCCGCCCGGGAACAAGGAGCUGGUAUCAGGCACAACCCUACCGAGCCCACAACACCUUGCUUAGCCACGCCCUCAAGGGAACUCAGCAGUGAUAAACAUUAAGCCAUAAGUGAAAACUUGACUUAGUUAAAGCUAAGAGGGCCGGUAAAACUCGUGCCAGCCACCGCGGUUAUACGAGAGGCCCAAGUUGACAAACACCGGCGUAAAGCGUGGUUAAGUUAAAAAUCGUACUAAAGCCAAACAUCUUCAAGACUGUUAUACGUAACCGAAGGCAGGAAGUUCAACCACGAAAGUCGCUUUAUCUGAUCUGAAUCCACGAAAGCUAAGGAACAAACUGGGAUUAGAUACCCCACUAUGCCUAGCCCUAAACAUUGAUAGUACUAUACACCCACUAUCCGCCCGGGUACUACGAGCAAUAGCUUAAAACCCAAAGGACUUGGCGGUGCUUUAGAUCCACCUAGAGGAGCCUGUUCUAGAACCGAUAACCCCCGUUCAACCUCACCCUUCCUUGUUUUACCCGCCUAUAUACCGCCGUCGUCAGCUUACCCUAUGAGGGACUAAUAGUAAGCAAAACUGGUACAACCUAAAACGUCAGGUCGAGGUGUAGCGUAUGGAGGGGAAAGAAAUGGGCUACAUUCGCUACCACAGCGAACACGAAUGAUGCACUGAAACACACAUCUGAAGGAGGAUUUAGCAGUAAGCUG